rnacentral:rRNA from 1 species
UACAGAGGUCUCAAGCGUUGUUCGGAUUCAUUGGGCGUAAAGAGCUCGUAGGCGGCUUGUCGCGUCGGACUGUGAAAACCCGCGGCUCAACCGUGUGGUCUGCAGUCGAUACGGGCAGGCUAGAGUUCGGUAGGGGAGACUGGAAUUCCUGGAUGUAGCGGUGAAAUGACGCAGAUAUCAGGAGGAACACCCGGUGGCGAAGGCGGGUCUCUGGGCCGAUACUGACGCUGAGACGCGAAAGCGUGGGGAGCGAACAGG